GAUGAACGCUGGCGGCGUGCCUAAUACAUGCAAGUCGAACGCUGAAGGAGGAGCUUGCUCUUCUGGAUGAGUUGCGAACGGGUGAGUAACGCGUAGGUAACCUGCCUGGUAGCGGGGGAUAACUAUUGGAAACGAUAGCUAAUACCGCAUGACAACAGUUAUUGCAUGAUAACUGUUUAAAAGGGGCAACUGCUCCACUACCAGAUGGACCUGCGUUGUAUUAGCUAGUUGGUGAGGUAACGGCUCACCAAGGCGACGAUACAUAGCCGACCUGAGAGGGUGAUCGGCCACACUGGGACUGAGACACGGCACAGCAUCCUACGGGAGGCAGCAGUAGGGAAUUUUCGGCAAUGGAGGGAAGGCUGACCGUGCAACGCCGAGGGAGUGAAGAAGGGUUUCGGAUCGUAAAGCUCUGUUGUAAGAGAAGGACGAGUGUGAGAGUGGAAAGUUCACACUGUGACGGUAUCUUACCAGAAAGAGACGGCUAACUACGUG
rnacentral:rRNA from 1 species